UCGAGUUGAUCGAUAAACAAAACAGAAAACAGCUGUUUUAACAACUAUUAAGAGGUUGUUUAGUUGGUCUUGGUUUAGUAAUUUAUAGUUUAGUUCGUAUUGCUGUGCUUGUUGGGGACUUGUGUUUCUCUUGAAGUGCAGACGUGUUUUCGCGCAUGGUCGCUGCUUCUGGAUUUGAAAGUUUCUAGUCGCAACCGUCGUACAGUAUUUCUUGAAUAUUUCCAAUUAAAAUUGUUGGCCUAUCCAUCUCUGCCUCGAAUAAGUAUUGCGGUGGGUCGAAAGCUGCUUUUGAUCAUGGAAAAGGAUAAGGAAAUGGACUUGGACUUUAAUUACAGGAAUCCCUGAAGGGGCGGUCUUCCUUGGGAGGGCCAUUAUGAAGUGGUUCACCGGGCGUCUAGCAGGAAUUGUCCAGUUUUUUUAUUUCACAAGAGUGUUAAAUGGCCAUGGCUAUUAUGACCCUUAGUCUAAGCGAUGUUACAUCCUACAGCAAGCUAAAUGGAAUAUAAAACACCACCAGCGUUACCAAGAAAUUUCCUUUGCCCAUCUUCGGUGAAUUCAUAUCUUCUUUUUCUAAACCUUUUAGCUAUUCUCAGGCUGUUUCUAAUGUUCUAAUGUUGAAAGUUUUCGAUUAUAAUUAUGAUAGUGAUCACUAUCCUAUUUUUAUCUCUUUUUCUAAUGAUUCUUCUUUUAAUGUUUCUUGUAGACUAUCACUAGUCGUUGGUAAAUUUGAUUGGUCGAAAUUUAGAAUUUCUUUGGAGGUAUCUAAUUCUCUUGUCUUUAAUUGUUCUUCUUCAGAUAUUCAAAAUUACUAUUCGUUCAUUAAUAACAUUUUACAUACGAUUUUUGACUGUGACUUCAUUCAUAAAAAUAAUUUCUUUAAAAAUCAAAAUUCCACUUACUGGUGGAAUAACAAAUGUUCAUCUCUAAUAGCCAAAAAAAAGAGAAUAUUUUCAUAAAUUCAAAAAUUCUCCUAGUUUGGAUAAUUGUAACGAAUUUCAACUCAUCUCAAAAUCUGUUAAAAAGGAACUUAAUAUUAUCAAACGUGAUAGCUUUCGUCAUUUUUGCCAUACGCUCUCUUCACAGAUGAAUCCUUCUCAUAUCUGGAGAAUUCUGGAGGCAUUCAAAAAGAAAGCAGUCGCAGUCUCCGCUAUCUCUCUCUUCAGUCUUAUUGCCUGUAUAUCAUACAUGGUGACCUUUCUCUCAUAUGUCUUGUGGUGCGCACGCUGGUUUUUAUUACAUUGAAGAUGUCGGGUUUUAUACCAAAACAAGAGCGGUUACCGGAAGCAUUACUUUUCUGCUUUCAUCUCAAGAAAUUUCCUGCUGAAAGUCAUCGUUUGCUAGUGGAGGUUUGUUAGUAUCUAUCAUUUUUGGUUUUACCUUAUUUUUUAUUUCUUUUGGUGAAUGUCCUUUAUAUAUAUAUAAUUAACUAUGAUGUGCUAUAUAUGCUAUAUUAUAGCAAAUUAUUAGUAAAGCAGAAACGUAAGUCUGCUAUAUCAACUUUGAAACUAUAUCAACUCUGUUGACAGCAAUUUCUCUUACGUUUCUUCUUAAAGUUUAGAAGAUAGUAAUUUUAAGUAUAUACUUAGAUUCCUAUGUAACUAUAGAGAAAAAUAAAUGUAUAAGCAUACAUUAGCAGAAAUACAGCUUUCUUGUAAUAAAUUCGCCAUUUAUAGGAGAAUAAACAUACGUUAUAGUUGAAUAUUAAGCCUUUGGUUAAUAAUAUGUAGGUAGCAUGAAAAAUUAAUACAAGAAAGCGAUAUAUCCUCUCCUCAAAUUUAACAAUCGCCAUGCGAAUUUAUUUUGAUAUAAUUAUACAAUAUUCGUUACUUGAUUCGUAUCUUUUCCAAAUUGUACUAAUAA